UUCUCAAUAGUUCAGUAGUUAGAGUGCUUGCAUAGUAUGCCAGAUGCUCUGGGUUCGAGUCCUAGUUGAGACU
rnacentral:tRNA from 1 species